CUUUGGUAACAGAGUUAUAAGCCAAAAUCUACAUUUUACCCCUAUGUUCUAUUUUUAGCCAUGGUGGCCAUCUUGGUUGGUUGGCUGGGUCACCGCACACAUUUUUUAAACAAGAUACCCUAAUAAUGAUUGUGGCUAAGUUUGGUUUAAUUUGGCGGAGUAGUUUCAGUGGAGAAGAUUUUUGUAAAAGAUAACAAAAAUUUAUGAAAAAUUGGUGAAAAUGA
rnacentral:lncRNA from 1 species